rnacentral:rRNA from 1 species
UACGAAGGGGGCUAGCGUUGCUCGGAAUCACUGGGCGUAAAGGGUGCGUAGGCGGGUCUUUAAGUCAGGGGGGAAAUCCUGGAGCUCAACUCCAGAACUGCCUUUGAUACUGAGGAUCUUGAGUUCGGGAGAGGUGAGUGGAACUGCGAGUGUAGAGGUGAAAUUCGUAGAUAUUCGCAAGAACACCAGUGGCGAAGGCGGCUCACUGGCCCGAUACUGACGCUGAGGCACGAAAGCUAGGGGAGCAAACGGG